rnacentral:rRNA from 1 species
AGUUUGAUCCUGGCUCAGAACGAACGCUGGCGGCAGGCUUAACACAUGCAAGUCGAACGCCCCGCAAGGGGAGUGGCAGACGGGUGAGUAACGCGUGGGAAUCUACCGUGCCCUGCGGAAUAGCUCCGGGAAACUGGAAUUAAUACCGCAUACGCCCUACGGGGGAAAGAUUUAUCGGGGUAUGAUGAGCCCGCGUUGGAUUAGGUAGUUGGUGGGGUAAAGGCCUACCAAGCCGACGAUCCAUAGCUGGUCUGAGAGGAUGAUCAGCCACACUGGGACUGAGACACGGCCCAGACUCCUACGGGAGGCAGCAGUGGGGAAUAUUGGACAAUGGGCGAAAGCCUGAUCCAGCAAUGCCGCGUGAGUGAUGAAGGCCUUAGGGUUGUAAAGCUCUUUUACCCGGGAUGAUAAUGACAGUACCGGGAGAAUAAGCCCCGGCUAACUCCGUGCCAGCAGCCGCGGUAA